AGCUCCAAUAGCGUAUAUUAAAGUUGUUGCGGUUAAAAGCUCGUAGUUGGAUUUCUGUUGAGGAGGUCCGGUCCGCAUCUUAGUGCGUGUAUCUGGUUCCGCCUUGGCAUCUUCUUGUGGAACGCGUUGCGAUUGAUUUCGUGACCGGUACAUAAGACAUUUACUUUGAGGAAAUUAGAGUGUUUCAGGCAGGCUUGCGCCUUGAAUAUAUUAGCAUGGAAUAAUAAUAUAAGACCAGCGUCUAAUUAUUGGUUUUUGGAUGCUGGUAAUGAUUAAUAGGGAUAAUUGGGGGCAUUUGUAUUAACGCGUCAGAGGUGGAAUUCUUGGAUUGCGUUACGACAAACUAAUGCGAAAGCAUUUGCCAAGGAUGUUUUCA
rnacentral:rRNA from 1 species